UUUUUGUGGCUGUGAUAUAUUAGUUUGUAAUUAGUUAAUUAUAACAGUUAUACAUAAGGGAACCACUAGUAGUAGGUGAAUGAUAUUUGAAAUGCAGAUGGAGCUGAAUUGACACAAACCUUUUUCAUGAAGAUUAUUUGGCUCAGCCUUAGUCUAGUGUCUUGGAAACUUUUGAUUAGUUUAAAUGUUUUAUUUUGUGAUUAGGUCAGUAAAAGGGGGAAC
rnacentral:lncRNA from 1 species